CCCAAUUGACAACCUGCGAAUUCCUUUGUACUUUUCACGCAUUGCCUCUCCCAAUUAAUAGAUCCUCGUACAAAAAUGGAAGUCAGAAAUGCAAAAUGAGCAGUCUGGAGUAUGAAAAGCAGCGAUCAGAUGCUGAGGUUUUGUGCCGAAAUCAGUGACAAGGUGGGUGCAGUUUGCUUGUUACACUUGUAAAAACUCCAGCUUUGAUUGGAACUGAGAUGUGGAUCUGAAAAGCGUCGCUUCACCGUUUCGAGUUGAUAGUCCACAUUGCACACACACACACACACACAAGGUUUUCGGUUCCUCGGCAUUCGCACUGCUGCUGAAAUGCGAAGAAGAAGAGAUGAUGUGGGAUGAAGUGGGGAGCGGUGCUCAGUGAUGAGAAGUGAGAUGUGCGCCGAUAUUGAACUGCAUUGAAUACUCCGCCGCCGUUUUGCAUUGUGCAAGGAUUUUGCCAGCGAGGGGAGUGGUGCCUUCGGGCAUGCGCUCGGUGCCGAGGAGCCGUCUCUGGCAGCUCCAUCAUCCAUGCCUGCAGAUGCACAGCGUGCGAAAUUGGGUGGCUGGGUGCCGUCGUAGCCUGUUCGUUGCGAUAAGUUGAGAGGGUCGACAAUGCCGUUGCUGGUGGAAUUGUAAUGGGGUGGAGAUGUUGGAGUGUGAUUGUGAACAAUCAAAUCGCUCGUUCGGAUUCAAAUCCCUCCUUAUCUCGUCUUCGCCGACGCCACCUGAUCGACUCCUACAUGAGUUGACCCAGGAUCUGAAGCUGUGAUAUGGUGACUGUGUAUGAGAAAGGGCGGCGCGUCAUUUUAGACAAACUCUGUAAGGUGACUUGUAUGUAAUAUUGUUCAUCUUCGAUGAUUUCGAGAGUAUUUUUAGCGAGCUAGUGGAUCGCCCGCGGUUUCCAGGCAUUCUUGUAACGAGCACGAGUGUUAUCAAGUGAAGCUAAAUGUGAGACGAUGGGGGUGUGUCUCAGUAGAUGUGGCGAGGCGCAGCAAAAAGCUGGAGUAGUGGCGGCGCCUAUCUCGCAUCGCAACUGCCUGGAGCAUACGGCUGGAUCGCCGCAUGAUCCCAACCUUUCCCUCAAGAAAUUCCUUCAUCUUCACGCCUCUUUUUCCAGGAGGAGCCUUGGCGAAGAGUUGAUGGUGAUUCCGCACAGCAGCGAGCUCUUCUCUCUCCCGGAUUCUGACGUCGGGCGAUCUAGCUGCACCAUGUCGCCAUCCUCGGCGCGAACGAGUCGAGCGUCCGUCUCGUCGAGGGUAACAUCCUCCCCAAAGUCCCGAAACUCGUUCAGCGUCUUGGGGGGGGGGGGGAGAUUGUCCACCGAUAGGGCCUCAGGUGGAUGCAGAAAGCGGACUCGGCCAUCGCGGAGCUCGUCGGCAUUGGUGGGCGACCACGACCUCGCGACUUACCUGCGUCUCGUGGAGGUGAUAGCGCGACUGCAACGUUUGAGUGAUGGGAAGAAUUUGCAGUUGCGAGGAUCUUCUGUCCGCGGGUCGGACCUUGAGCGAGUGUCGAAGCCCGUCCUUCAGAAAACUCGGUCGGGGGAACUCGAGCGACCAAGUUUUCUGCCCCACCGAAGCCGCCAAACUCGCCAUUACAAGCUUCCCCUGCAACGUCCGAAAUUCACGAUGUGUCCCGCGGACCACAACUCUCAGAAUAAACUUGCUGAAGAUGCAUCGACCAUGACGAGUCCCUCUCCGCCUUCUCAGUCGAAGACUCUGAGCAUCCCCGCCCCUCUCGCUAAACUGGAAACCAAGCAAAUGCUACUGGAUAAGACAGCCACGAAUCUCUUGUGAAAACCACAGAAUUCCACAUCGUCCAUCGAGAAGCCACCGUUGUCAUCGUCAUUGGAAAGCCGUUUGAAGAGGAAUGACGACCCGUCGACCAACCCGACUUUUCCUAAACGCGUCGAGGAAAGCAAGUGUAUGCUGCCCCUCCUCCCCAGCAACAGCCUUUACGAUGCAGACAGCGACGAAAUGUUAACGCUCUUUGAGGCCACCUUCAACGAUUCUCACGUGAUGAGAAAAUUCUCUCCCCGAGCGAAGUCUCUCCAGCAAAUGGUGCAAUCCGCUGGUCAAGGAUGUCAUUCGAGCUACUCGGUAGGUUGCUUCCAACGCUUAUUUCAGUAUGAAAUGUGCGAAGCUCUUAUCCAAUGAUCAAAGGAACGAAGCGCCUGGUGUUCGUGUCAAUCUCUAUACAUAGAAAUUUCCUGCCGCUGAGAAAGCCACUGCAUCACAGAACUUGGAGUUGGCGAAGAGAACGACAGGGAGCAAAAAUCACUCCCAGAGACCACUCACUGUGGAUCUAUCCGCAGAAAAGGCCACGGGUCCAGACACGGGGUUGAGUAUCUCAGUGUUUGCAACCCAUCUUGCGAUGCAACUUGUGCUUCUGGUUUGUAAUUCGUUCACGUUCAUGGUCUCCAUGUAUGUGGUUGGGCUUUUUAGGAUUCUUCUAACUCAGUCUGCUAUUGUUUCCAAUUAGUCAGACAGAAUGGAAAAAGCAGCGAGGCCAGCUUUCUCAGAAAUCAACACCAACGUCAUGUCGGUGAUGAAGAAGUCGCCCUCCAAACUGACACCCUUGAAAGGCUUCAGGCGAGGAGAUUCACGGUCUUUGGAUUUAAGAGAUCGCAGCUGCGAAUGCAGAUUUUGGCUUGCUCGGAAAUGGUUCGGCACGUCACUCAGCUAGUCGCUUUUUCAACUCGUCCGAAGAAGCAGUUGAAGCAGAGGGCACGGAGAUGAGGUUAUCACCUGCAGUCAACACAUGCAGCCUAGAUGUCAAACUGGAACAAGCUGACUGUGGACAACAGGAAGACGGUGCCAUCGCUUUAGAGCCUUCUUCAACUGUCAGGAUCAGUACCCCAGAGCCAAUGACUUCACGAGUGUUGGUGGUUCCAUGCCCUGACGCAGACUGCAACUCCAGCAACCCUGAGAAGCUGGACGACGACAAACCUCUAGAGCUUCCAGAGACAAACUCUUCCUGUGCGGUGAGGAUACCAACUCAAUCACCCACUGCUCAGAAUCAGUGUCUGCGUCCAUUUCGAGCACCAACUCUCCCCCGUAUGAGCGUGACCCCGUCGAAGGCAUUUACAGCUCAAGGCCAGACGCGGCCGCCGAUUCCCAGAGGUUUUUGUGCAAGGCUUUCAACAGCCUUCUAACGCUCCUACAAGGCUCUAUAAGCGAGCAUCCUCCUGAGCAAGGUGGGGAAGAAAUGGGCACCCCGUGACUAGCGAACCGAACAUGAAACAUUUCAAUACUUGUGACGAAACUGCAACACCAUGCUUCGUGUAGUAACGGGGCUCAGGCCUUUAGGGCACGCCGGUAACGAUCUCAACAUCAAAGCAACGAUCUGCUAGCUUCCUUCCAAAUCCUGGUGGGAAAUUUGCACCACUUAGAAACCAGCGGCAUCCACCAGCUCCUCAGCCGAAGCUGGGUCUUCAUGUCGUUAGCCGUUUCGGCACGUUCAAACAUCGGUGGACAACUUUGCAUAAUCAUGCAACAUCGUCGCCUCAAAAUGUAGAUGAGAAGCUUUGGUGCCGCAAGUUGUCGAUGGAAUGCAGUGCCGAAUGUUGCACUCUACCUCCCACAUUUCUAUAUGAAAAACCAUGUUUCGACAUUCGACUUCAUUCUCACUACAAUUGCGCAUCUGCGUUCACAGUUUUGCCAAA